GCGGUAGUUUGGUUGCCUAGCGGUUGCCAUCACGUGGUAUGCCACAUCUUGCUUACAGAGAAGGCACAAUUUGUGCUGCUUCUCUCUUUGGUUAUCUCAGAGCCUCCCCUUGCAGAGAUGAGAGAGAGAGAAAUGAUGUCAAGAAUCUGGUGGCUGCAGGAGAUGAGAGUUGGAGGGAGCAGGGUGCCAGGUGCCACAUCAACCCGACACCGCUCCUGGUGAGUGAAAUAGGGCUGGGUCAGGGAGAAAGUUCAGGAGGAGGGAGAUCAAUUCAUGGUCUCAUUCUCCAGUUGCAAAAUUUAUAAUGCUUCAAGUGUCCCUGCUUCCAUUUCCCCCCUCUCUGCUUUACAUACACCCACCUCCCAUUUUAGGACCUCUCUUCAGGCUGCAUGCCCACUUCAUCAAGCCAAACAAUGGCACUUUUCAGCUUGUGAUCUGGUGAGCUACAAGGGGGAAAAGCUGUGCUGAAUGAACCCUAUGUGUGGCAGAGUAGAUUUGGGGGGCAUGGAGAAGGGUGGAGAAGGAAUUGUAGCGGUUUGUGUUCCAAACAUGUAUAGAGUAGCCAGGAAUAUCUUCUGGGUAGUCAACAAUAGCAGGUGAAAGAAAGUAGAACGUGACAGAAAUAAAAGAUUGAAACAUGUGAAAAGAGAAGAUAGAAGUCAGGGGAAAGGAAAAGACAGCUGGUGACAGAGGAUUGUGAAAGAGGACAGAGUGGCAACAGAUAAAGGAGUAGGAAUAUUCAAGUAAGAAGGCAGAAGGGAAGCGGAGAGAAGGUGAGAAAACAAAGGCAAGGCAGGUGAUAUGGGAACAAAAAGUGCUAUAAAAAGGCGCUGCCAGAAAUAAAAGUGGCAAAAGUAAGAGGAGAUGCAGAAAGCUGAACCUUCUUGGAUGUUUUUUUCGGUAGAAAAAUGCAAACAUAAUGCUGAUGAUUACUUGCCCUUUUGCUCAACAUCAAAGACAGCCUUCAAUGAAGAAGAAGAAACCCGGAAAGCAAAAAUAGGAUACGACUGGUUAAAGGGUCCAAAAGCUUCACCAACAAUAGACGAGCAAUUAUUAAAAUUGUCACUUAAUUAUACAUACGUGUUCAGAAACAGGAGCCGUUACUCCCAUUACUUCAAGUAUUAGUUGUAAAGGUAUUGAACCUACCACCUAGUAAAU